rnacentral:rRNA from 1 species
UAGUGAUUAACGCGAAGAACCUUACCUGGGCUCGAACGGCUGGUCAACGGAGGUGGAAACAUCUUUACCCCGCAAGGGGGUCCAGUCGAGGUGCUGCAUGGCUGUCGUCAGCUCGUGUCGUGAGAUGUUGGGUUAAGUCCCGCAACGAGCGCAACCCUUGUCCUGUGUUGCCAUACCGCAAGGUGGAACUCGCAGGAGACCGCCAGGGAUAACCUGGAGGAAGGUGGGGAUGACGUCAAGUCCUCAUGGCCUUUAUGUCCAGGGCUACACACGUGCUACAAUGGACGGUACAAAGCGCAGCGAACUCGCGAGAGGGAGCCAAUCGCAAAAAACCGUUCUCAGUUCGGAUUGCAGGCUGCAACUCGCCUGCAUGAAGCUGGAAUCGCUAGUAAUGGCAGAUCAGCACGCUGCCGUGAAUACGUUCCCGGGCCUUGUCACACCCGAAUCGAAUUCC